GCUCCCCCUAGAGGCACUAGAGGUGUGGCUGCUCUGUCACAUGUGCUUCAGUCGGUGGCAGAGAGGAGAGAAGCUAUGUUUACUCUCAGUCUUCUGACCUACAAAUAUCUGAAUGAUUAGUAGCCUCACAUU
ensembl:snoRNA Gm22284 predicted gene, 22284